rnacentral:rRNA from 1 species
UACGUAGGGUGCAAGCGUUACUCGGAAUUACUGGGCGUAAAGCGUGCGCAGGCGGCUAUGCAAGACAGAUGUGAAAUCCCAGGGCUUAACCUUGGAACUGCAUUUGUGACUGCAUAGCUAGAGUACGGUAGAGGGGGAUGGAAUUCCGCGUGUAGCAGUGAAAUGCGUAGAUAUGCGGAGGAACACCGAUGGCGAAGGCAAUCCCCUGGACCUGUACUGACGCUCAUGCACGAAAGCGUGGGGAGCAAACAGG